GUGCGCGAAUCAACAACAAGGGGCGCUCUGGUGGUAACAUCAGAGGCAAACUUAGCUAUAUGCUGGAAACUCCGUCCUCUAAGUGGUUUUUUGACGCGCUCAAAACUGCUGAAGAGGUGUAGAAUCCGAUGGUACUCGAUUUCUAGGAACGAGUGAAAACCCAUUCGGUGCGGACAAUCAGCAGGGAAGUUCCCUGAGAUCCAAAGAUCUUAUAACCCCUCAACGACUGAACGCUGAGCAUCCACAUUUAUGGAUGGUGAUACAGUCUGAUCUUCUAGGCGACUAGAAG
rnacentral:ncRNA from 1 species